rnacentral:tRNA from 1 species
GCCCCGUGGCACAGUGGUUAUAGCGCCGUCGCCCGCGGCGAGAAGGUCGUGGGUUCGAAUCUCGGCUUGGGGCC